rnacentral:misc_RNA from 1 species
GAUGAAGAACGCAGCGAAAUGCGAUACGUAAUGUGAAUUGCAAAUUCAGUGAAUCAUCGAGUCUUUGAACGCACAUUGCGCCCCCUGGUAUUCCGGGGGGCAUGCCUGUCCGAGCGUCAUUGCUGCCCUCAAGCACGGCUUGUGUGUUGGGCCGUCGUCCCCCUCCUAGGGGACGGGCCCGAAAGGCAGCGGCGGCACCGCGUCCGGUCCUCGAGCGUAUGGGGCUUCGUCACCCGCUCCGUAGGCCCGGCCGGCGCUUGCCGACGACCAUCAAUCUCUUUCUCCAGGUUGACCUCGGAUCAGGUAGGGAUACCCGCUGAACUUAAGCAUAUCAAUAAGCGGAGGA